GUGCUUGCUUUGGCAGCACAUAUACUAAAAUUGGGACAAUACAGAAAAAAAUUAGCAUGGUCCCUGAGCAAGGAUGACACCCACAUUUGUGAAUCAUUCCAUAGUUUU
rnacentral:snRNA from 2 species